UUGGGACACUUUCACCUAUAUCUGCGAUUCUGCGCCGCCGCCACGCGAGCCCCACAUGUGGCCUCCGCCUCCACCCGCCUCGCUUGGAGGCGAGGCGCCGACCUGGAGCCGCGAUGCGCCUUGCCGCUGGCCUCUCCUCCCUCCAGCCCGCCCUUCUAAGGCCACCUCCCUCUACCUCGUGGAGGCAACACAACGGCUGGGACGCCGCCGAAGCUGAGGACGUGCACCUACAGGAGCGCCCUCACCUCUACUACCAGGAAGUGAAUAUACUAUUUGAGUCAAACCUGCCAUGAAUUGGAGCAUUGAGUUAAGAUAUGAUCAAUCAUUUUAUCCUCCUGCAAGCAUAAAGAACAGGUUUCACAUUGGUCUUGCAUGCCCUUGCCUGCAUUCCACCGCCAAUGAAAUGUAUCCUCCGCCCUGGGCUGAAUCUGAAUUUCCUGGAUCGCAUCCAGUAGUUAAACAUACUGGACCAGACCUUGCGUCGAUAGGCAUAUUCAAGCUGCACGAAAAAGCCAGCACCAUCAGAAUUUUGUUUAUAUACCUUCUCACCACAAGAGGGCUUUUAUUUUGUUAACAAAGAUAUACAUAGCACUUUCAGUGAAGCUGCAAUUCACCAUCUUAGCCUUUUUCAUGAGGUAAUUCUGUUUCUUUGGCUUGAAAUAGUAGUGGGAGAGAUUGCCAGAUGCCAGUAAGGUUAGGCUUUAUGCAAGCAAUAUAGUGAUCUAAAAACAUGAUAAUGUGUAUUCUUUAUAUUUAUGCCACACCUUUGGAUCCCUCCAGAAA